rnacentral:rRNA from 1 species
CCUACGGGGGGCUGCAGUGGGGAAUUUUCCGCAAUGGGCGCAAGCCUGACGGAGCAAUACCGCGUGCGGGACGACGGCUUUUGGGUUGUAAACCGCUUUUGUCAGGGAAGAACACAAUGACGGUACCUGACGAAUCAGCAUCGGCUAACUCCGUGCCAGCAGCCGCGGUAAUACGGAGGAUGCAAGCGUUAUCCGGAAUUAUUGGGCGUAAAGCGUCCGCAGGUGGCUCAUCAAGUCUGCUGUCAAAGCGUGUAGCUCAACUACAUAUCGGCAGU